GAUGAAGAACGUAGCGAAAUGCGAUAAGUAGUGUGAAUUGCAGAAUUCCGUGAAUCAUCGAAUCUUUGAACGCACAUUGCGCCUUCUGGUAUUCCGGAAGGCAUGCCUGUUCGAGAGUCAUUAACAACCGUUUCGAUCCCUUUCUUUCAGAAAUUACAAAGAGGAAAAGGGUUUGGUUAUGGUGGAGGAGGGAAAGGGAGCGUUUAGCCUGUAAAAAAAGAGGCUGUGUUCCGCCUCCCCCCCAAAAUUGUACAGGCGGUCGUGUGCGCCCACGCAUCGAGGUGUUGUAAAAGCUGCCACGGCACUUUUCACCUGUGCAGUGCGAGAUUGGCCAGCCGGUUUAAACACCCCUCCAAACAAUCAAAGGUUGACCUCGGAUCAGGUAGGGAUACCCGCUGAACUUAAGCAUAUCAAUAAGCGGAGGA
rnacentral:misc_RNA from 1 species